rnacentral:rRNA from 2 species
GAUUCUGGUUGAUUCUGCCAGUAGUCAUAUGCUUGUCUCAAAGAUUAAGCCAUGCAUGUCUAAGUAUAAGCAAUUAUACAGCGAAACUGCGAAUGGCUCAUUAUAUAAGUUAUCGUUUAUUUGAUAGUAUCUUACUACUUGGAUAACCGUGGUAAUUCUAGAGCUAAUACAUGCUAAAAAUCCCGACUUCGGAAGGGAUGUAUUUAUUAGAUUAAAAACCAAUGCCCUCUGGGCUCCUUGGUGAUUCAUGAUAACUUUUCGAAUCGCAUGGCCUUGCGCCGGCGAUGGUUCAUUCAAAUUUCUUCCCUAUCAACUUUGGAUGUUUGGGUAUUGGCCAAACAUGGUCGCAACGGGUAACGGAGGGUUAGGGCUCGACCCCGGAGAAGGAGCCUGAGAAACGGCUACUACAUCCAAGGAAGGCAGCAGGCGCGCAAAUUACCCAAUCCCGACUCGGGGAGGUAGUGACAAUAAAUACUGAUACGAGGCUCUUUUGGGCCUUGUAAUUGGAAUGAGUACAAUUUAAAUCUCUUAACGAGGAACAAUUGGNGGGCAAGUCUGGUGCCAG